GCUGGGUGUAGUGGCGCACACCUGUAGUCCCAGCUACUCAGGAGGCUGAGGUGGGAGGAUCACUUGAGUCCAGGAGUUCUAGACCAGCCUGGGCAACAUAGUGAGACACCAUCUCUA
ensembl:misc_RNA Metazoa_SRP Metazoan signal recognition particle RNA